UAAUAACAAAAGUGCUGCUUUUACAUAUGUUACAAUAUAUUUACGUUUUACAAUAAUUAGAUAUUUAAAUGGUCUCAAGCACUUAAAUAAGUUUGGUUGACAACUUUGUUGGUCGUAUAUACAAAUUCAGAAAAUAUAUUCCUGGGAGGCCAAUGGUUUCUUAGAAUAACAAAUGCUGACUUCAGCAUAAUGUUGCGUCGCUGCCUUUGGUCAGCUCCGCUUUUGUUUUCUGGGAUCAGUUUGCUCAUUGUCAUUAGGCUAACAACAACGUCGAGUCGCGGAUUUUGUUUCUUCAAAAUGCCUAAUCGGGAAAGUAGAGAAGUGCUGUGGGAUGAUGAUAGCACUCCAGAGACAGUGAUCGACGUGCCUCAAUUCGAAGAGGAAAUGCAGUUACCCGAAGAGGGGCAAUUUUUGGCUGCUUGCAGGCCAGUUAAUCCAAUGGUAAAUUGGACUCGAUUGGGGAUACUGUUGUGUGUUGUGUAUAAUUUAUUUAUUGUGAUUAUUUUAUUGGGCACUUACAUUUACUCUAAACUGGCAAAUUAAACUCAAUGCCAUUCGUUAUUUCAAGUGGCUUAAGUGAAAAGAAAUUCAUUAUUAUUUAUAAGAAAAAGUAUCAAUAGUGAAACUCAAAUGCUAUCAAAAUAUAUUAUAAAUAUCAUAAACAACUAUUUUAUAUUAUAAGCAAAUUUUGGAUGAAGAUUGCAUGAAUAAAAUAUAUAUUUGAACUGUAAAAUGCUUCAACAAUAUUAAAUAUAACAUGCACUAAAGCAA